GACGAACGCUGGCGGCGUGCUUAACACAUGCCAGUCGAGCGGAAAGGCCCUUCGGGGUACUCGAGCGGCGAACGGGUGAGUAACACGUGAGUAACCUGCCCCAGACUUUGGGAUAACCCUCGGAAACGGGGGCUAAUACCGGAUACGACACAGCUUCGCAUGGGGUCUGUGUGGAAAGUUUUUCGGUUUGGGAUGGGCUCGCGGCCUAUCAGCUUGUUGGUGGGGUGAUGGCCUACCAAGGCGACGACGGGUAGCCGGCCUGAGAGGGCGACCGGCCACACUGGGACUGAGACACGGCCCAGACUCCUACGGGGGGCAGCAGUGGGGAAUAUUGCACAAUGGGCGGAAGCCUGAUGCAGCGACGCCGCGUGAGGGAUGACGGCCUUCGGGUUGUAAACCUCUUUCAGCAGGGACGAAGCGUAAGUGACGGUACCUGCAGAAGAAGCGCCGGCCAACUACGUG
rnacentral:rRNA from 1 species